CCUACGGGCGGCAGCAGUGAGGAAUAUUGGUCAAUGGGCGCGAGCCUGAACCAGCCAAGUAGCGUGAAGGAUGAAUGCCCUACGGGUUGUAAACUUCUUUUAUAAAGGAAUAAAGUGAGGCACGUGUGGCUGUAUGUAUGUACUUUAUGAAUAAGGAACGGCUAACUCCGUGCCAGCAGCCGCGGUAAUACGGAGGAUCCGAGCGUUAUCCGGAUUUAUUGGGUUUAAAGGGAGCGUAGAUGGGGUGUUAAGUCAGUGGUGAAAGUUUGCGGCUCAACCGGAAAAUUGCAAGUGAGACUGGCAGUCUUGAGUACAGGUGGGGUAGGCGGAAUUCGUGGUGUAGCGGUGAAAUGCUUAGAUAUCACGAAGAACUCCGAUUGCGAAGGCAGCUUACUAAACUGCCACUGACAUUGAUGCUCGAAAGUGUGGGUAUCAAACAGGAUUAGAUACCCUUGUAGUC
rnacentral:rRNA from 1 species